rnacentral:rRNA from 1 species
UGGGGAAUUUUGGACAAUGGGCGAAAGCCUGAUCCAGCAAUGCCGCGUGUGUGAAGAAGGCCUUCGGGUUGUAAAGCACUUUUGUCCGGAAAGAAAUCCUUGGCUCUAAUACAGUCGGGGGAUGACGGUACCGGAAGAAUAAGCACCGGCUAACUACGUGCCAGCAGCCGCGGUAAUACGUAGGGUGCAAGCGUUAAUCGGAAUUACUGGGCGUAAAGCGUGCGCAGGCGGUUUGCUAAGACCGAUGUGAAAUCCCCGGGCUCAACCUGGGAACUGCAUUGGUGACUGGCAGGCUAGAGUAUGGCAGAGGGGGGUUAGAAUUCCACGUGUAGCAGUGAAAUGCGUAGAGAUGUGGAGGAAUACCGAUGGCGAAGGCAGCCCCCUGGGCCAAUACUGACGCUCAUGCACGAAAGCGUGGGGAGCAAACAGGAUUAGAUACCCUGGUAGUCCACGCCCUAAACGAUGUCAACUAGUUGUUGGGGAUUCAUUUCCUUAGUAACGUAGCUAACGCGUGAAGUUGACCGCCUGGGGGAGUACGGUCGCAAGAUUAAAACUCAAAUGAAUUGACGGGGUCAUAGCUGUUUCCU